rnacentral:lncRNA from 1 species
ACAUACGGGUCUGCAGCGGAGGCGAGCAGGAGGUUUGCAAAGAGGAAACUCCCUUUCGGAAUGGAAAGCCGCUUUUGCUUCUUGUUGUUGGGGGUGGAAAACAUUCCAGCGAGAAUGAGUUCAAAAAGAAGGGAAACCGCGUCACUGGAGAGAAAGUAACAUUAAGAGAUCGAUGAGGACGGAGUGGGUAGGGGGGACAGAGAGAGGAACGUCUGCAACAGGCAUCUAAAAACAAGCGUGGAGGAGCAAAGAUUCCCAAUCCCCGGGUUACUACCGCGCGCGUUC